rnacentral:rRNA from 1 species
CGUAGGGUGCGAGCGUUAAUCGGAAUUACUGGGCGUAAAGCGUGCGCAGGCGGUUUUGUAAGACAGGCGUGAAAUCCCCGGGCUCAACCUGGGAACUGCGCUUGUGACUGCAAGGCUAGAGUACGGCAGAGGGGGGUGGAAUUCCACGUGUAGCAGUGAAAUGCGUAGAGAUGUGGAGGAACACCAAUGGCGAAGGCAGCCCCCUGGGUCGAUACUGACGCUCAUGCACGAAAGCGUGGGUAGCAAACAGGAUUAGAUACCCUGGUAGUCCACGCCCUAAACGAUGUCAACUAGGUGUUGGGUGGGUAAAACCAUUUAGUACCGGAGCUAACGCGUGAAGUUGACCGCCUGGGGAGUACGACCGCAAGGUUA